rnacentral:tRNA from 1 species
GGUAGUGCAGUAGGCAAAGAGUUUGGCUGCUAACCAAAAGGUUGGUGGUUCAAACCCACCACUACUG